UACGUAGGGUGCGAGCGUUAAUCGGAAUUACUGGGCGUAAAGCGUGCGCAGGCGGUUCGUUGUGUCUGAUGUGAAAGCCCGGGCUCAACCUGGAAUGGCAUUGGAAACUGGCGAGCUAGAGUGUGGCAGAGGGGUGGAAUUCCGCGUGUAGCAGUGAAAUGCGUAGAUAUCAGAAGGAACAUCAGUGGCGAAGGCGGCUUCCUGGACCAAUACUGACGAUCAGGUGCGAAGCGUGGGAGCAAACAGG
rnacentral:rRNA from 1 species